GCCCUAGUAGCUUAACACAAUAAAGCACUGGCCUUGUAAACCAAAGACGGGACAUACCACCCCCCAAGGGCA
rnacentral:tRNA from 1 species